rnacentral:rRNA from 1 species
AGUGAACGCUGGCGGCAGGCCUAACACAUGCAAGUCGAACGGUAGCACAGUAAGAGCUUGCUCUUACGGGUGGCGAGUGGCGGACGGGUGAGGAAUACACCGGAAUCUACUUUUUCGCGGGGGAUAACGUAGGGUAACUUACGCUAAUACCGCAUACGACCUACGGGUGAAAGCAGGGGAUCUUCGGAUCUUGCGCGACUGAAUGAGCCGAUGUCGGAUUAGCUAGUUGGCGGGGUAAAGGCCCACCAAGGCGACGAUCCGUAGCUGGGCUGAGAGGAUGAUCAGCCACACUGGAACUGAGACACGGUCCAGACUCCUACGGGAGGCAGCAGUGGGGAAUAUUGGACAAUGGGCGCAAGCCUGAUCCAGCCAUGCCGCGUGGAUGAAGAAGGCCUUCGGGUUGUAAAACCCUUUUGUAGGGAAAGAAAAGCAGCAGGUUAAUACCCCGCUGUUCUGACGGUACCCAAAGAAUAAGCACCGGCUAACUACGUG